rnacentral:rRNA from 1 species
GUUAAUUGAUUAUGACGUACUUGUACUGAUUGAGAUUUUAACACGAAGUGAGUGGCGAACGGGUGAGUAACACGUGGGUAACCUGCCCAGAAGUAGGGGAUAACACCUGGAAACAGAUGCUAAUACCGUAUAACAGAGAAAACCGCAUGGUUUUCUUUUAAAAGAUGGCUCUGCUAUCACUUCUGGAUGGACCCGCGGCGUAUUAGCUAGUUGGUGAGGUAAAGGCUCACCAAGGCAGUGAUACGUAGCCGACCUGAGAGGGUAAUCGGCCACAUUGGGACUGAGACACGGCCCAGACUCCUACGGGAGGCAGCAGUAGGGAAUCUUCCACAAUGGACGCAAGUCUGAUGGAGCAACGCCGCGUGAGUGAAGAAGGGUUUCGGCUCGUAAAGCUCUGUUGUUAAAGAAGAACGUGGGUAAGAGUAACUGUUUACCCAGUGACGGUAUUUAACCAGAAAGCCACGGCUAACUACGUGCCAGCAGCCGCGGUAAUACGUAGGUGGCAAGCGUUAUCCGGAUUUAUUGGGCGUAAAGCGAGCGCAGGCGGUCUUUUAAGUCUAAUGUGAAAGCCUUCGGCUCAACCGAAGAAGUGCAUU